rnacentral:rRNA from 1 species
GACGUAGGGCGCGAGCGUUGUCCGGAUUUAUUGGGCGUAAAGAGCUCGUAGGCGGUCUGUCGCGUCGAUCGUGAAAACUUGGGGCUUAACCCUGAGCUUGCGGUCGAUACGGGCAUGACUGGAGUUCGGCAGGGGAGACUGGAAUUCCUGGUGUAGCGGUGAAAUGCGCAGAUAUCAGGAGGAACACCGGUGGCGAAGGCGGCCAUCUGGACGGAUACUGACGCUGAGACGCGAAAGCGUGGGUAGCAAACAGG